rnacentral:rRNA from 1 species
AGUGAACGCUGGCGGCGUGCUUAACACAUGCAAGUCGAACGAGAACGGAUUAUAGCUUGCUAUAAUUGUCAGCUAAGUGGCGCACGGGUGAGUAAUGUAUAGGUAAUAUGCCUCUUACUAAGGGAUAACAAAUGGAAACGUUUGCUAAUACCUUAUACUCCUUAUUAACAGAAGUUAAUAAGGGAAAGAUUUAUUGGUAAGAGAUUAGCCUGUAUUGUAUCAGUUAGUUGGUGGGGUAAUGGCUUACCAAGACUAUGACACAUAACUGGUUUGAGAGGAUGAUCAGUCACACUGGAACUGAGACACGGUCCAGACUCCUACGGGAGGCAGCAGUGGGGAAUAUUGCACAAUGGACGAAAGUCUGAUGCAGCAACGCCGCGUGGAGGAUGACACAUUUCGGUGCGUAAACUCCUUUUAUAUGAGAAGAUAGUGACGGUAUUGUAUGAAUAAGCACCGGCUAACUCCGUGCCAGCCGCCGCAGUAA